GACGGAGGAUGCAAGCGUUAUCCGGAAUGAUUGGGCGUAAAGCGUCCGCAGGUGGCAGUUCAAGUCUGCUGUCAAAGACCGGGGCUUAACUUCGGAAAGGCAGUGGAAACUGAACAGCUAGAGUAUGGUAGGGGCAGAGGGAAUUCCAGGUGUAGCGGUGAAAUGCGUAGAUAUCUGGAGGAACACCGGUGGCGAAGGCGGCAUCCUGGACCAACACUGACGCUGAGGAGCGAAAGCCAGGGGAGCAAACGGG
rnacentral:rRNA from 1 species